UACGGAGGGUGCAAGCGUUAAUCGGAAUUACUGGGCGUAAAGCGCGCGUAGGCGGUUUAAUAAGCGGAGUGUGAAAUCCCCGGGCUCAACCUGGGAACUGCAUUCCGAACUGUUAAGCUAGAGUAUGUGAGAGGAUGGCAGAAUUCCGAGUGUAGCGGUGAAAUGCGUAGAUAUUCGGAGGAACACCAGUGGCGAAGGCGGCCACCUGGAUCAAUACUGACGCUGAGGCGCGAAAGCGUGGGUAGCAAACAGG
rnacentral:rRNA from 1 species